rnacentral:rRNA from 1 species
UGCCUUCGGGAACUCUGAGACAGGUGCUGCAUGGCUGUCGUCAGCUCGUGUUGUGAAAUGUUGGGUUAAGUCCCGCAACGAGCGCAACCCUUAUCCUUUGUUGCCAGCGGUUAGGCCGGGAACUCAAAGGAGACUGCCAGUGAUAAACUGGAGGAAGGUGGGGAUGACGUCAAGUCAUCAUGGCCCUUACGAGUAGGGCUACACACGUGCUACAAUGGCGCAUA